UCGGAAUCAGGUAGGACUACCCGCUGAACU
rnacentral:rRNA from 1 species